CCUACGGGUGGCAGCAGUGAGGAAUAUUGGUCAAUGGGCGUAAGCCUGAACCAGCCAAGUCGCGUGAGGGAUGAAGGGUCUAUGGAUCGUAAACCUCUGUUAUAAGGGAAUAAAGUGCGGGACGUAUCCCGUUUUGUAUGUACCUUAUGAAUAAGGAUCGGCUAACGCCGUGCCAUCAACCGCGGUAAUACGGAGGAUCCGAGCGUUAACCGGAUUUAUUGGGUUUAAAGGGUGCGUAGGUGGCCUUUUAAAUCAGCGGUGAAAGUUUGUGGCUCAACCAUAGAAUUGCCGUUGAAAGUGGGAGGCUUGAGUAUGUUUGAGGCAGGCGGAAUGCGUGGUGUAGCGGUGAAAUGCUUAGAUAUCACGCAGAACCCCGAUUGCGAAGGCAGCCUGCCAAGCCAUGACUGACGCUGAUGCACGAAAGCGUGGGGAUCAAACAGGAUUAGAUACCCUUGUAGUC
rnacentral:rRNA from 1 species